GGGAUUAAUUUAGGAUUAAUUUAUGACUAGAGUCUCUUUACU
rnacentral:tRNA from 1 species